rnacentral:rRNA from 1 species
ACUCAAAGGAAUUGACGGGGGCCCGCACAAGCAGCGGAGCGUGUGGUUUAAUUCGAUGCAACGCGAAGAACCUUACCUAGGCUUGACAUGGCCAGAGUAGGAUCCCGAAAGGGUGACGACCCGUAAAGUCGGGAAUGGUCACAGGUGCUGCAUGGCUGUCGUCAGCUCGUGCCGUGAGGUGUUGGGUUAAGUCCCGCAACGAGCGCAACCCUCGGCGUUAGUUACCAUGUCUAACGCGACUGCCGGUUUCAAACCGGAGGAAGGUGGGGAUGACGUCAAGUCAGCACGGCCCUUACGCCUAGGGCUACACACACGCUACAAUGGCCGGUACAACGGGACGCUAAGGGGCGACCUGGAGCAAAUCCCAUCAAAGCCGGUCUCAGUUGGGAUUGCAGGCUGCAACUCGCCUGCAUGAACGAGGAGUUGCUAGUAACCGCAGGUCAGCACACUGCGGUGAAUACGUUCCCGGGCCUUGUACACACCGCCCGU